rnacentral:miRNA from 1 species
UCCCGCACUGGCGAGCGAAUUU